rnacentral:rRNA from 1 species
UACAGAGGGGGCAAGCGUUGUUCGGAAUUACUGGGCGUAAAGGGCGCGUAGGCGGCCUGUUAAGUCGAACGUGAAAUCCCCGGGCUCAACCCGGGAACUGCGUCCGAUACUGGCAGGCUUGAAUCCGGGAGAGGGAUGUGGAAUUCCAGGUGUAGCGGUGAAAUGCGUAGAUAUGCGGAGGAACACCGAUGGCGAAGGCAAUCCCCUGGACCUGUACUGACGCUCAUGCACGAAAGCGUGGGGAGCAAACAGG